rnacentral:lncRNA from 1 species
UCCAUCUAAUAAAGUAUGAGAAUUUCACAAAUGAAAUGGGAACAUGUGUCACACAAAGUCAACAUUUGACUAGGCAGGGAAGAAAAAUCUCAAACAAAUAGAAAAUAGUUCAAUUAAAUCCAGGAAAAUUCACAAGUAAACUAGACAUACAAGAGUAGGCUCAUGCAAAAUUUCAAUCCAUUUGGAGGUCAAGAAGCAUGGCAAUGAAAAUCAUGAAGUUGGUCAUCAAUGGUGUGACACAAAUUGUCACACCCUAAUUCAAAA